rnacentral:rRNA from 1 species
CAGCCGCCGCGGUAAUACAGAGGCCUCAAGCGUUGUUCGGAUUCAUUGGGCGUAAAGGGAGCGUAGGCGGUCGGGUAAGUCGGAUGUGAAAUCCUGGGGCUCAACCUCAGAACUGCAUUCGAUACUGCUUGGCUAGAGGACUGGAGAGGUGAGUGGAACUUCCGGUGGAGCGGUGAAAUGCGUUGAGAUCGGAAGGAACGCCCGUGGCGAAAGCGGGCUCCUGGACACCACCUGACGCUGGGACGCGAAAGCCAGGGGAGCGAACGGGAUUAGAUACCCCCGUAGUCCCUGUCUCUUAUAC